UUAAGUUCAAAGAGUAUCUAAAGUAAAUGAGGAUAGGCUUUAUGGUGAAGGGAUAGCCUGGAAUAAACCUCGUUUUCCUCCAUACAGAAAUCCAAAGAGAUAUGGAGGUUUGUAAAAUACUUCAUAUGAAUUCAGGAGUCGGAGACAAAAGCUAUGCUAAAAACUCCUUGCUUCAGACUUUUUCCUAACAGAAGUUUGCAUUUUGUUCAUUCUUCUUACGCUCUUCACUAACUCUCUCAGGUACCUGAAGGGAUGGAGAUGAUAAACACAGGGAACAUAUUCAUAAAUAGUACAAGUCCAAAGAAUGUUAUUGAAGGGUAUUAUAAGCAAUUUCAAAAUGAUUUCUCACUGUUUUUGUCCCACUUUGACCCUUUUGAAUUUAGCUAUGAGUGACAUGGUUAAGGAGGUGAAAUUAUUAUUCUGUGUGUACUUUUCUUUUCUUUUUUUUGUUAAUUAGUGUCUAAAUGUAAUUCAAUAUAAUUUAUCGGGUGAAUUCAUAAGCAGGGGAUGAUCAGAGAAGACAAAAUUGAUAGAUUCAAUAUUCCAAACUUCAUGCCAAGUUUAGGAGGAAGUAAAAACAGAGGUUUUAAAAGAAGGAAGCUUGGUCGUCAACCAUGUCCAAGUCAUUGGAACAUUUAUAAUGAUUGAAUCCAGACCUUGCAAGGAUCUAUCUUUAUUUUGAGCUAAA